CCUACGGGUGGCUGCAGUGGGGAAUAUUGGACAAUGGGGGGAACCCUGAUCCAGCCAUGCCGCGUGUGUGAAGAAGGCCCUCGGGUUGUAAAGCACUCUCAGUGAGGAAGAACGCCUGGUGGUUAAUACCCAUCAGGAAAGACAUCACUCACAGAAGAAGCACCGGCUAACUCCGUGCCAGCAGCCGCGGUAAUACGGAGGGUGCGAGCGUUAAUCGGAAUUACUGGGCGUAAAGCGCGCGUAGGUGGCUUGAUAAGCCGGUUGUGAAAGCCCCGGGCUCAACCUGGGAACGGCAUCCGGAACUGUCAAGCUAGAGUGCAGGAGAGGAAGGUAGAAUUCCCGGUGUAGCGGUGAAAUGCGUAGAGAUCGGGAGGAAUACCAGUGGCGAAGGCGGCCUUCUGGACUGACACUGACACUGAGGUGCGAAAGCGUGGGUAGCAAACAGGAUUAGAUACCCUGGUAGUC
rnacentral:rRNA from 1 species